rnacentral:rRNA from 1 species
GUGAGGAAUAUUGGUCAAUGGGCGGGAGCCUGAACCAGCCAAGUCGCGUGAAGGAAGAAGGAUCUAUGGUUCGUAAACUUCUUUUGCAGGGGAAUAAAGUGCAGGACGUGUCCUGUUUUGUAUGUACCCUGAGAAUAAGGAUUGGCUAACUCCGUGCCAGCAGCCGCGGUAAUACGGAGGAUCCGAGCGUUAUCCGGAUUUAUUGGGUUUAAAGGGUGCGUAGGUGGUUUGAUAAGUCAGCGGUGAAAGUUUGCAGCUUAACUGUAAAAAUGCCGUUGAAACUGUCGGACUUGAGUGUAAAUGAGGUAGGCGGAAUGCGUGGUGUAGCGGUGAAAUGCAUAGAUAUCACGCAGAACUCCGAUUGCGAAGGCAGCUUACUAAGCUACAACUGACACUGAAGCACGAAAGCGUGGGGAUCAAACAGGAUUAGAAACCCUGGUAGUCC